UCUAGGAUUCACCCGUAGUGGAAUCCUAUUAGUGUUAUUAAUUUGUUCAUAUUCUCAUUCAUUCCCAAUUUGUUCAUACGCGAGCCUCUGCAACUCUAGAAAAAAGAAAACUCUCCAAACCCUAGUUCUUCACAAUCGUCCCAAGUUCACAAUCAAAACACUAAAUCAAAACACUCCUGCGCCAAAUCCCAAUCAUUCUCCAAUCUCUCCAUUCUCCAAUCUCCAAUUUCAUUCGAUUUCAUUCGUUCCCAAUUUCUUCAUCGUCCCAAUUUCUUCCCUUGCGAGAACACACAGCGCCAUCGUCCCUAAUUUCUUCCCAAUUUUCAUUCCCAAAUCGCCAAAUCCCUAAAAAUCCCAAUUUCUUCAAUCAUUCUCCAAACCCUAGACGGCGACCCCUUUAUCAUUCUCCAAAUUUGCUUCAAUCUGCGGUGACAAGCUUCAAUCUGCGGUUACCAGUGGAGUUGGGUUGCUUCUGCUCGAUUUGUUUGGAUAGAAAGAGUUGGGUUGGUGUUUAUCAGUUCCUCAAGACAGCCAGAAGCGACACCGGCAGAGUAUGCAAGAGCUAACAAAGAGCUUAGAAAGCUAAGUGGUUAUGUGCAACUUAUUAAUGAGUUGAAGGCCAAACAGAAGGUAAUUUUAUGGUUAUGUGGUUCUUUGUCUUGAAGUUAUGAUAUUCAACUAAUGAUUUGGCAGCAUAGACGAUCUUAUUUUGGAAAAAAGACUACUUUUUUAUGUUGAAGAAUCACUAAGUUAUGUUAUUAAGUUUAGUUAAAAUUGGAAGUAUUGUGUGGCUUAAUAGUGGACCGGAGUUUAACUAGAUUUAUCCUUCUUAAAAGGGGAGAGAGUGUUAUUUUGUUGUCUAAAGAUAUGUUUUUGACUUCAUUCUUGAGUGUUUUUUAUCUUGUAGCCAAUUUUUUAUGAUGAUUAUAUUGUUUUAUCUGGUGCUAUUUGUUUGAUUGAUGAGCUUUUUCUUGAGUGUCAUAAAUUUUGACAUGUAUUGAUCACCAUACCCUGCAUUUUUCUAACAUAAAGUGUAACCAAAUUAAAACUGCCUGUCACAAUGGUCAUUGACAUGUGAGUCUGCAUUAAGAAAGCUCGGGAUCUGCCUUAAGCGCUAACUGUUUGUCACAAUGGAAACUUUUGCUUAGGAAAUGCAAGAAAUUUUGUUCAUAAUAUAAGAAAUCUAGGAAAAUUAUCAGAUUUUCAGAACUGUUUGCAGCCUUAGUUUGAGAAUGGAAAUGCCAUAACUUCACAAACAUUAUUGUCAAUUCAAAACUCCCGGAUGAUAAUUGUUGGUUGGGUGAAUUCAAUUGUUUAACUAUCAAUUCAUAUUUCUUAACUUUAGCAUUAUUAUAUCAUGAUAAUGAAUUUAUACUAUGUAGUUUAGUUUUAGGGUUUAACUUCAAAUUUGAGAUCUUUGAUGCUGUUCAGUAUCUAUUCUAGCUGCGGAUCUUGAAAAAAACAGUUACACACAACUAAUUUGAGUUAUUUUCCCUAAUUUAGUUUUUUAUACAUCUAAAUGAUGGAAAUUGUGAUUACUAAUCUGAAUCUAGGAAAAAUUAUAUAAUGCUUUGAAAUAGCAACUUAUGAGAGAUAUGUAAUUGAGCUGUGCACUGCUUUAACUAGAUGUUUCUUUCGAGAAAUGUUUGGAUUAGAUUGUGAUGAGAAUGACUCAUUCGUGGUUAAGUGGGAAGACGCUCAAGUUGAGCUGAAAGCCCAAUGAGAGUGCAUUCCCUUUUGGGUUUGGCCCAUUUGUAUGUUUGGUUUUGACUAGGAGGGUUGGUGGUUAAACUUCUAAUCUGGACCAUAAUAAUUAAGCACUGUAACCCUAAGCAUUGGCUGCUGGAGAUGUUGGCGCAGUUGGCUAAACUCCGUGAUCAAUUGUUGUAUUCUUGUAAUUGAGAUAUUUCAAAUGCAAUGAAGGCUAGGUGUAUCUCAUUCUUUCCUUGAUCUUCCGAUGGCACUAACAACAAACAAAGUUUCACGCGGUCCUAUCUUGACUAACAGAACAACACUUUGUAGAUUAAAUGGAGACCACUAUUUUUCCUCAUCCGCAAGGAUCAAUAGAAUACAGUUUUCAAGAGUUAGACUUGAACAGGGCAAUCUGAACAAUGGAGUUUUCCUCAAUGAGAGAUCAACCUUAUUCAAUGACUGGUUUCGGUCCGUAAAUGGAAAACCAGUUAGUUUAAUCUCCAAGACAUCUUCUGUCUCAUGUAAAUCAACAGGAGCAAAUAAUACUGAAGAGAAAGAAUGUGUUACAACUUAUGAUGAUGUUUCUGAUUUAACUAGAAGACAUGCCGAAAAUGAGAAAAAUGAUCGUGCUCGUUCUGUUCGUGGCUUGGCUGAAGCUUAUAGAUUUGCCUGUAAUGAUGCGAAGUUUCUCUCGCGGUAUUUCCAUUAACCCGACUACGUUGGUCAACAUAUUUUUUGGAGUUAUUGGAGGGUUAAGAUUUAUCUGAUAAUCACAAUGCUUUGACAAUUGUUAGCAUAUGGUUCCCAGUGGUUUUCGUAUGUGCAUCACUGUUUUGGACUGUUUAUUUUGGACUAUUUUAGGAUGGUUUUAUGAAGAUCGAAGUGUUCGUUGAUUUUGCAAUGUUGUUCGAGGUGUUUGAGAUGAAGAUCCUAAAGGGAAAGAAAUGGAGAGAGCAUUGAUGAGGCUACUUGGAAAUUCAACAUCACUAGCUUCAUGUCGUUUUCAUUAGUGAUAAAUUAGUUGGUUCUAUGGAUAGAGUUUUGACUUUUCAUAUUAAUGGGCUGUAUAUGCUUGGAAUUAGACUAGAUAAUUAGUGAUAAUGUUAAGCAUUGACUUUUAAUGUGUUGAAUGUAACUUGUUAGGAAUUGACAAUGACUUGUGGAAAAUAAUAUUCGGAAUUAUGUCAA